GCCAAUGCGAGGGAGAAUUUUGGUGGGGGGAAAGAAAUUUUGAUAUUUCCAAGGACAAUUGCAAGCGCAGAGGUCAAGGUCUCCAGCCUUUGAACUCUAUGCUGUGUCUCCCAGGACCCCUUAGGUGCUCCCACUACUACGUGACAGUCAGUCCACACUGCUGGAACCUGUGGACUGGAAGCAGCAGCAGAAGCAGGAUCUAUCAAUUUUCUACCAGAAAACACCGAUUGGAGUAACUGGGAACAUUUACUAGAGUGUAUCAACAUUAUCCAAGUUUUUGCUGAG